rnacentral:rRNA from 1 species
AUGGCUCAGGAUGAACGCUAGCUACAGGCUUAACACAUGCAAGUCGAGGGGGCAGCAUUGGGAUAGCUUGCUAUUCCAGAUGGCGACCGGCGCACGGGUGAGUAACGCGUAUCCAACCUUCCCCAUAGUAGGGCACAGCCCGGCGAAAGUCGGAGUUAAUUCCCUAUGCUGUCCAGAGAGGACAUCUGACCUGGACGAAAGAUUCAUCGCUAUGGGAUGGGGAUGCGUCUGAUUAGGUUGCAGGCGGGUAACGGCCACCUGGCCGACGAUCAGUAGGGGUUCUGAGAGGAAGGUCCCCCACAUUGGAACUGAGACACGGUCCAAACUCCUACGGGAGGCAGCAGUGAGGAAUAUUGGUCAAUGGACGGAAGUCUGAACCAGCCAAGUAGCGUGCAAGGAAGACGGCCCUAUGGGUUGUAAACUGCUUUUAUCAGGGGAUAAAGUGAGGUAUGUAUACCUUUUUGCAUGUACCUGAUGAAUAAGGACCGGCUAAUUCCGUGCCAGCCGCAGC